CUUAGCCUCUGUGGGAAUUGAGAAGCUCUCAAUGCAAGCCAGUAAAUUAAUGCCGUUGGAAGACAUCACUGGAAAGACAAUACAACAGGUCGCAUGGGAAGCUCUUCCUGCAAUGGGGAUGCAGGAGAGGUCAGUGAUUUUUAUCCUUUAUUUCACUGGAAUAACUCCGAGAGUUUGACUGUAGAUCUUCUUUUCUUCUCUACUCUCUCAUUCCGUUCUUAUUUUGACUUGUCUACGCUUUCCCACAGGCAGGAUUUGUCUCAGAAUAUGAUGCCAGAGGCUGAACCAGGACUUGGUAAGGGCACUGACGGCAAGAAAAAGGGAGGGGCCAGUUCAAUAUUGAGUUCAUCAAGAAAAGUCGGCCAUGAUUAUGUUUCUCUAGAAGACCUCGCGCCAUUGGCAAUGGAAAAAAUCGAAGCCCUAUCGAUUGAGGGCCUAAGAAUACAAUCAGGAAUGUCUGAUAAGGAUGCUCCCGCUAACAUCAGACCCCAUUCAAUAGGUGAAAUUUCUGCCUUGGAAGGUAAAGAGGCCACAAACUGCAUGUCCCUUGGACUAGACGGUGCUGCUGGUUUGCAGCUUCUGGACAUCAACGACUGCGCCGAUGAAGUUGAUGGGCUGAUGGGUCUGUCAAUUACUCUAGACGAAUGGAUGAAAUUAGACUCGGGUAUAAUUGAUGAAGAUCAGAUCAGUGAUAGGACAUCUAAGAUCCUCGCUGCUCAUCAUGCGACCUCCACAGAAAUGGUUCCUGGCGGGUGCAAGGGAGACAGAAGAGGGAGAAACUCCGGAAGAAAGUGGGGUUUACUGGGAAACAACUUCACAGUAGCAUUAAUGGUGCAGCUUCGGGACCCGUUGCGCAACUAUGAACCUGUUGGCACUCCAAUGCUCUCUCUAAUUCAGGUAGAACGGGUUUUUGUCCCUCCAAAACCUAGAAUCUAUUGCACUGUUUCUGAUGGAGGGAACAGUGAGCAAGCAGAAGAGCCAGAGGCAACUGCUAAAGCGGCCGAGACAAAGAAAGAGGAAGAAGAGGCAGUCUUGCCUCAGUUUAAGAUCACCGGGGUGCAUGUUGCAGGUCUGAAGACCGAUCCUGGUAAGAGAAAGAUUUGGGGCGGUUCAAAUCAGCAGCAGUCUGGCUCC
rnacentral:lncRNA from 1 species